AAGAAUUAUUUUAAAAAGUACCAAAUAAUGCACCAUUAGCAGCCUUAAACCACAACUCCAAAAUAAUUCUUUACAAGUGCAAGUUUACAACAUUUAUUUUCAUCGUGCACAAAAAAGGCUCUUUGUAUUUUGCUUCCCACUCGCUUCGACAGCCCAUUUUCAUACACUUUUGCAACCUAAAGACGCUACAGAAUUAACUUAAAUAUGCAAAAAAACAAAUACAAAAAAGACCUACCAUUUACAAUACAAGAAAAGAUUUCAAAACCCACUACUUUUGGGAGCAUCCCUACGCCAGGCCGUGCCAUGCUGCCCAGCUUCAAGUCCAGAUGGCGCUCCAUUAGACUGAUAGGCAGCAUUAACAUGGUUACUAGGAACUGUCCAAGUGCCCUGCAGCCACGACCGGGUAGUGUUUUGCUGACCAUGCAUCACAUUCAUUGGGGUUUGCAAAGGCAUGGCUUGUGGAGCAAUUUGAGGACGUGGCGUCUGCUGCACCAUAUGAGAACGUAACAUUAACUGUUGCAUGCCAUGCUCCUGCACCGGCUGUAGCUGUGGAAUCUGUGUUUUGUUGUCUUCAGGGUGCCACUCAGGCAUGUCAUCGUCAUCAUCGUUCCAUGGUUGCAUUGCAACCCCAAUACUUCUAUUAUUCUGCCAAUUCCCUAGAGAGGCACUAGUUUGUCCAUAUCUUUGUACAAGCUGCCUCAUUUGAUCUACAGGUCGAGAUGGUUUUGGCGAAUGUAAUUGAUAAGGAGGCAUCCCUUGCCCCCGAGUAACACUAUGGGUGGAAAACUGUGGCCCUGAUGCAACAGAACCACGUGAAAAAUUAAACUCAGGUAAGUCAUCGUCAUCCCGAGUGGCCGGUGGGCCAAACCCAGGAGGCACAUCAUCAUC
rnacentral:misc_RNA from 1 species